rnacentral:rRNA from 1 species
UACGUGUGGAAGGGAUAAACGCUGAAAGCAUCUAAGCGUGAAGCCCCCCUCAAGAUGAGAUUUCCCAUUUCUUUAAGAAAGUAAGACCCCUGAGAGACGAUCAGGUAGAUAGGUUGGAAGUGUAAGUACAGCGAUGUAUUCAGCGGACCAAUACUAAUCGGUCGAGGACUUAACCAAAAA